GCAGCCGCCGCGGUAAUACGAGGGGGGCAAGCGUUGUUCGGAUUUAUUGGGCGUAAAGGGUGCGUAGGCGGUUUGGCAAGUCUCGUGUGAAAUCUAUGGGCUCAACCCAUAGCCUGCACGAGAAACUACCGGGCUUGAGUAUUGGAGAGGUGAGUGGAAUUUCCGGUGUAGCGGUGAAAUGCGUAGAUAUCGGAAGGAACACCUGUGGCGAAAGCGGCUCACUGGACCAUUACUGACGCUGAGGCGCGAAAGCUAGGGGAGCAAACAGGAUUAGAUACCCCAGUAGUCCCUGUCUCUUAUAA
rnacentral:rRNA from 1 species